GUAAGUCCCCUCAACCCUGUAGCUGGCCUCCUUACUGUGACCCCCACCAAGUCAGUCCUAUUUGGAAACCUAAUUUGCCUUGCUCCGGGGUACCCCAACCACAGGCUCUUAAGACCAAUAAAACUCAGUGGGAAACAACCUUAUGAGGUGAUUGGGUCCAGCCUCUUGCUCCUGGAAAGGUGAAUCUCCAAAUCUUAUGAGGCAAUUAUUCCACCCUACCUUCUGACUGUCCCGGCACUAUGCAAUGACUCUUGUAGCCUUCUCUUCAGCAGAGAAAGUUUCCCCAGAAAUAAAACUCUGAGUGUUCUACUCCUUCCUUCCAGUUGCCUCCUCUAAGCACCCUCUAAAUCAGACCCAGGGCUCCAGAGGGAGUAAUCUCCUUUCUCUCGCAGCUGCUCUGAGUUUUGCCGUCUGGGCUUAGAACAGCUUGAAGUUAGCACAAAGGCGAAUGAAGCUUUAAAUCUCCAGCACUUAACAGCUUCUCUGCAGCCUCAGAGGAUCCUCAAACAACGCUGCAACCUAGGGAGAAAAGGAAAUGUGAUAUUCAUUGAGAUUCCUCAUGUCCCAGGGGAGAACCGAGUGCCCAGCCAACAGCCAGCACCAACCACUGCACCUGGGACUGAGUCCAUCUUGCCCUUCCAGCUCUGUUGACCUCCCAGGGGACUGCAGCAACAGGACUGAGCCCAGCUGAGCCCAGCAGAGGAAACGCCCAGCUGAUCCACGAAUCAUGAGGCAUAAUCAAUUGUUUUACAAUACUAAAAUUUAUAUGUAAUCAAAUAAAAAUAUAUGUUGGUGAAGUGAUAUUGCAAAAGGUUAACAAUUGUAUUUAAAUGGUGGAUAUAUGAUUAUUGUGCUAUUUCUAUUUUCUGUGUGUUUGAAAAAUUUAAAAUGAAAAGUUAAAAUAG
rnacentral:lncRNA from 1 species